GGGCGGACGUAAAAGGCACACGCGCUUCCCGGCGCCGGCUUCCGGCCCGGCGAGGUUUGAGCGCGUCCGCGGGCUGGGAGGCCGCUGGACCCGGGCGCAUGGCCUCCCCCGGGCAGUUAUCUCCUUGCCGCGACCUUGAGGUCUUCGACCGUGUGCUGUCCUGGAGCCAGUGAAACCAGACGAAAUUAAGGGAACAGCAGACGAAGGAACUGCCACCGUGCCCCAGACCCUGGUUUGCAAAUACAGUUCGACAAAGAUCUUGCCAGGAAUUGGCCUGGGAGAGUCCAAAGGACUGGGCUGGGGGUGGGGAAAUGAUUUUAGCCAGAAGACAAAUAUAGAGGUUGUACCCAGAAGGUUAAGAGGCUUAGGAAGGUUAAGAACUACGUUAACAUUUGGCUCCCAGGACCCCAGGUAAAGUGCCCUUGGAUUGAAUAGAUUUCUGAACUCCAGAAACAUUUAGAGGAAUCAAUAGAAUUAGAUUGGCAGCCAUUGUGCCAAUGGACAAGUGCUUACUGAGCCCCUUAAUCCCUUCACUGGGUAAGCAUUUGCCACACAUGUCCUCAAAAACCUACUUGUUAGCUUAAGUGGACUCCCUCAAGUUCAGAACAGGAGCAAAUAGUGUAAUCACAAGUUCCGUGUCUGAAUAAUCAUAACAAUGUUUAUAAAAAUAAGGACGACUGUUGAAAACUGCAACUGCAGCUGAACCUUAUGUGCCCAGACUUCAGAAUUCCCAUAGGCAAAAUGCCAGCAGGCCUUUGCACACUGAACACAUAGUGUUCAUAUCCUUCACUUUCCUUUCCUGCCCUCUCCUAUCUUCUCCAGAUCUGCCUGUGAAAGGACCCAAUUCUAGGACCCCCCAGGAUGGUUAGGCCCUUCCUCUGAAAGUACACUUUGCAAUUUGUUAGUCUCCUCAAGAACCCCAGCGAUCGAAACUGAUGCACACAAAUUGCAUGUGUUCAAAGGAGCAAUUUUGAAUCUAGCUUUGUUGAUCCUGGGAGAAAUCUUUGACCUGUGUUAGUGAAAGGCUAUGGUGUUUCUCAGCUGAUUAUAAUAGCGAGGUAGCUGAAUGCAAAAAAACAGUUUCAGAGAAUGGUAGAGUAUAUCCUCCAAAGGUGAUACUCGCUUCUCUAUUCUGGUGAGAGAAACAAGAGCUAAAGCAAAAUUCUACAGAGGGCUUUAUUUGGAGAGAGGUGGAUUUUAUUUAUAAUGCAUUUAAAAUUCAAAAUCUUUCUAGUUUGAACUCUUGACAUUCUGAUUAAUGCAUUUUUAUUCAACUGUUAAUUAUUCCUCGAUACACCUCGCCAUCACUUGUGUAUCCCUUUUCUACAUGUGACCUUUCCCUGGCCACAUCUGCUACUCUCUUUGAGCAUGAUGCCUCUACUGUAUUCUAUUCCAGAGCUCAUUGUUUUGUCAGUUUUUUUUCUCUCCACAAAAAAAGAUGAUCAAAUAAUUACAUAGAAUUUUUCCCUUCUCAGUCUUUGGGUAACUAAGUGUGGUUUUAUUGACGAUGAAAUACAAGAUGGGUCAUUUAAAA
ensembl:lncRNA SLC25A5-AS1 SLC25A5 antisense RNA 1